CAAGGCUUGACAUAUACGAGAACGGGCCAGAAAUGGUCAACUCUUUGGACACUCGUAUACAGGUGGUGCAUGGUUGUCGUCAGCUCGUGUCGUGAGAUGUUCGAUUAAGUCCGGCAACGAGCGCAACCCUCGUCCUAUGUUGCCAGCACGUUAUGGUGGGAACUCAUGGGAUACUGCCGUGGUCAACACGGAGGAAGGUGGGGAUGACGUCAAAUCAUCAUGCCCCUUAUGUCUUGGGCUUCACGCAUGCUACAAUGGCCGAUACAAAGGGCUGCGAUACCGCGAGGUGGAGCGAAUCCCAAAAAGUCGGUCUCAGUUCGGAUUGGGGUCUGCAACUCGACCCCAUGAAGUCGGAGUCGCUAGUAAUCGCAGAUCAGCAACGCUGCGGUGAAUACGUUCCC
rnacentral:rRNA from 1 species